rnacentral:lncRNA from 1 species
AUACCUAGAAAUUCUUUCUUAAGAUGAAGAUCAGUAAGUAGACUGUAAUGAAAUUGAACAUUUUAGACCAGCCGACUAUGUGUUAUCACUGUUAUCAGGCGUGAGGUGACCCAAGUAGCCACGGUUGCAACUUGUUGCAACAACAUCAUAGAAAAGUUGCAACUUUCUGGCGUAACUUUUGUUGCAACUUUGUUGGAAGAAGAUGGCAGGAAAGUUGAAACAAAGUCUCAAUAUUUUUGCAACUUUUUCCUCGAACUUUUUGGGAGGAAUUUUAAACAAGUAAAGUGAAUAACAAACAAUGAGUAACAAGAAAAAUGAUAGUAGUAAUUGUACUCAAUGCGUUAUUAGACUCGACAUCGUCGCGAACGAUGCGUCGGCCGAGCGUAGAGUCUCCGCGUCUCGCGCAUUGACGUCACACAAUCCGCCAUGACACCUGCAUGCGCCAAUCAAAUCACUCAUACACCGCCGCCCGACAUCUUGGAUGCAGUAACAAGUUGAAACCAGUCGUGCCGGUGUCGAAGUCGUUUGUUGAUAUGCGUUGUGUGGUAUUGCGUCUAGACAGGGACCGUAACGAGUUUUCCAGGCUUUCUCGUUCUGGAAAGUACAAACGCCUGAGAACUGAACCGUCAUCGUCAUCAACUUCCUCAGAGAAUGACUCUGACUCCUCCGAAGGAAGGCAAUCUCAGCCUGUCGCAGAAUCGAGUGCUGCUUCACCGUCUGCCUCCCCAGUUGCGGGUCCCAGUUCCACUCCUCAUGCCCACCAAAUCCCAUGCCCUGAUGAUUCCCUCCAAUCCUUUAAUUCUCCCGGUCUUUCCCCUGCAUCCAGUUCUCAUUCCAUAUCUCAUGACUCGCCUAGUUCCUUUAGCUCCGGCCCAGUUUCCGAUGUCUCCAGUGUGUUAGGCUCCGACUCAGAAAUAGGUGAUGAUCCUCCCGACGAUGGUCAUGAUUCUCCUGUCAAUGAUGACUCCUCUGACAGUGAUGGUGUCAGUGCUGUCGAAAAGGGUCUAAGAGAGUGGGCCAUUAAGCAUAAUGAAACAACCUUGCAUUGAGUGAUUUGUUAAAAACUUUGAAGGAGGCUCACCCUGAUUGUUUUUCCGGACUUCACACUGAUGCUCGCACCAUCUUACACACCCCUAGAGCCAAAGUUGUGCUGAGUGAAGUUCCUCUAGGGCAAUAUUUAUCCAUAACGAUCACCGAACAUCUUACAUUUAUUCUUUCUUUGUUGCCGAACAAUGUUGUUCUCCUCCGCCUUCUUUUUAAUAUUGAUGGAAUAUCCCUCAAAUCGAGUAGUUUUUCAGAGGUCUGGGUAAUUACUUUCAAUCUACCCACAUUUCCAGAACUUAGAGGUACGGUUUUUCCAGUUGGAUUCUAUGGUGGACCCUCAAGCCUGACAGUGUCGAAGAUUUUCUUAGGCCUCUCGUUGAUGAACUGAAUG